UACGUAGGGUGCAAGCGUUGUCCGGAAUUAUUGGGCGUAAAGAGCUCGUAGGCGGUUUGUCGCGUCUGCUGUGAAAACCCGGGGCUCAACCCCGGGCCUGCAGCCGAUACGGGCAGACUAGAGUUCGGCAGGGGAGACUGGAAUUCCUGGUGUAGCGGUGAAAUGCGCAGAUAUCAGGAGGAACACCGGUGGCGAAGGCGGGUCUCUGGGCCGAUACUGACGCUGAGGGGCGAAAGCGUGGGGAGCGAACAGG
rnacentral:rRNA from 1 species